AAGAAAAGAAGGAAAAAAGAAAAAAGCGAUAAAAGAGAAAAAAGAAAAUAAAGAAAACCGGAAAAACAAAAAGAGAAAGAAGAAAAAAGAACAAAAAGAAAAAAAAGAAAAGAAAGAGAAAAAAGAAAAAAAAGGAAAAGAAAGAAAGAAGGAAAGAAAAAAAGAAGGAAGAAAAGACUAAAAGAAAGAAAGGGGGAAAAAAAAAAAAGAAAGAGGCAAAAGGAAGCAAAAGAGGUGGGGAAGCUGCUCCCCCUGCACCCCCCGGUGGGAUGCGCCUGGUUGUGCGGGGGGCGCAGUGCCGGGCGGGAGGGGCGGGUUCGGGCUGCAGGAAGCCCCCUGCCCACAUGGAAGGAGCUGUGAAGAGGAAUCGUGGCAUCAGAAAGCGUUGCCGUGUUCCCACUUCAUUUCCUAGUGCCAGAUAAUUGCUUUUUCAACUCAGUUGAGACUCGGUUUGUGCUGUUGCUGUUGCCGCUCCUCUGCGAGCUUCUGUGUCUGUCUCAGGCACCCGUGUCUCCUGUUAGUCUCGUGCUCGCUCUCUGGACGGGGUUGAUAACAAAUGAUGUUCAGUGCUAAGUUCAGUAACGGCAUCCAGAAGGCGCACGGCGAGGAGGUGGCAGUGGCGACAGGAGGGAAUUGCCAUGUUCCUGGGCUGUCCCUGUGCCCCGUCAGCUGUGGAGCCCUAUAGGCCGUGCAGCCGGGCCCUUCUCCUUCACCAGACCGAUGCUACCGCUCUCAGGUGAGAUGUCCCUUCUGUGUGACAUCGUGUCACAUCAGAGCGCUUUGGGCAGUGUGGCUGCGAGGCACGCGGAUGAACCGAGGAAGCCGUUCACAGCUGAAUUAAGUGCUGGCUUCUCUCACAGGGCUUUGGCUCAACUUUUUCUUCUCCCGAAUCCUCCUGCUCCUGGAUGUACGUAAUUAAAUGACAACCCCAGCUCUUGUGAGAAAUAAAAAAUACACUUUCUAUACAUCACGAUUCUGGAGGGACGCUUUAAAAAGUGAUUCGACGUUCCCCUAAAUGUGCAGCGACCAACGGAGAAAUAAAAUGAAACCCACGUUUAUUAUUAGGAAAAAUCUUGAAACUUUUAGCCGUGCUUGUCAUUUUUAAAACUGACUUAUGAUUUAGAUGAGACAUUAAGAACAGCUUCCUAAUGGGAAGAUGGGAAGCACGAGAAUAGAUUGCCUGCAGUGGCAGUGGGAGGAUUUGAAAAUUGGGUGGACAAAUGUCUGCCGGAAUGCAGCAGCUGCAGCCCAUCCGGCCCCAUGCAUUGGACACACCAG
rnacentral:lncRNA from 1 species